GCCUCCCCAGACUCAUAUUUGCUGUACUAUUUCCACACUGCCCUGAUACGUCUGGGCCCUGGGGAGGUCCAGUACACUCAGUUUCAGCAUUUUGAUAGCAAUGAGGAGAUUCCAAGGAUGGAGCCAUAUGAGCCAUGGAUGGAAAAGGAAGGAAUAGAGUUUGGGGAGGAACUAAAACUCAGACUCAAGCACAUUGCACAAAGGUCCAGAGCAUACCUUUGGACCCUGCUCUGAUACUACAACUAGAGUGAAGGAGGUGUAGGGCCAGAUAUGUGCCUUCUUGGAACACAAUACCAGACUGCCUAUGAUGUCUCAGAUUGCAUCACCCUGAAUGAGGACCUGAACUUCUGGACUUCAGCAGACAUGGUAGCUCAGAUCAUCAAGCUCAUGUUAGAGUUAGAUCAUGCAGCAGAGUAGUUCAGGAUCUAUGUUGAGUGAGGAUGCCUGGAGUUGUUCCAAAAA
rnacentral:lncRNA from 1 species